rnacentral:rRNA from 1 species
CCUACGGGAGGCAGCAGUGGGGAAUAUUGGGCAAUGGGCGCAAGCCUGACCCAGCAACGCCGCGUGAAGGAAGAAGGCUUUCGGGUUGUAAACUUCUUUUCUGAGGGACGAAGAAAGUGACGGUACCGCAGGAAUAAGCCACGGCUAACUACGGGCCAGCAGCCGCGGUAAUGCGUAGGGGGCAGGCGUUAUCCGGAUUUAUUGGGUGUAAAGGGCGUGUAGGCGGGAAAGCAAGGCCGAUGGGAAUACUUCGGGGUCAACCCUGAGCCUGCCGUUGAAACUGUUGUUCUUGAGUGCGGGAGAGGCAAGCGGAAUUCGGGGUGUAGCGGUGAAAUGCGUAGAUAUACGGCGGAACACCAGUGGCGAAGGCGGAAUGCCGGACAGUAACUGACGCUGAGGCGCGAAAGCGUGGGUAGCGAACAGGAUUAGAUACCCGAGUAGUC